rnacentral:rRNA from 1 species
UACGAAGGGGGCGAGCGUUGUUCGGAUUUACUGGGCGUAAAGGGCGCGCAGGCGGUCCUGUUUGUCGAGUGUGAAAGCCCCGGGCUCAACCUGGGAACUGCGCUCGAAACGGCGGGACUAGAGUUCGGGAGAGGAGAGUGGAAUUCCCAGUGUAGAGGUGAAAUUCGUAGAUAUUCGGAAGAACACCAGUGGCGAAGGCGACUUACUGGACAAAUAUUGACGCUGAGGUGCGAAAGCGUGGGGAGCGAACAGG